CAGGACUUGUACAUUACACACACAUAUAUAUUAGGUCAUCCCAUAAGUUCGUGCCGACCUUUGUGUUUACAUUUCAUAUUUAAAAAAAAAAAAAAACAAGAGAACUUUUAUCGAGACGGAAUAAUGAAAAAUGGGAAGAAGUUGUAUAACGAGAGGGGGAUUACAUUUUUUCAUGAAACUGAAAGGUAUGUAAACAAUCUUAACAUAUAUAACCGCUCGAAAAACGGCACGAACUUAUGGGAUGACCUAAUACUUUGAUGGAGAGCUUCAAGAGUAUCUAACGUUAAAUGACCAAUUAUCUCUAAAUUUUAGCAAGAAUUUAAUUUGUUCACAUUACAAGCUUCUUUAAAAGCUCACAUCUAAAGUAAUUGAAAAACGGUUUACAAACUUGGUUUCUUUCUCUAUUAUCUUGAUGAUUACCAGCAAGAUGAUCAGCAGAUGUCGAUGCAUCUUCACAGU
rnacentral:misc_RNA from 1 species